CCUACGGGGGCUGCAGUGGGGAAUAUUGGACAAUGGGCGAAAGCCUGAUCCAGCCAUGCCGCGUGUGUGAAGAAGGCCUUCGGGUUGUAAAGCACUUUCAGUGGGGAAGAAAGCCUUGGGGCUAAUACCCUCGAGGAAGGACAUCACCCACAGAAGAAGCACCGGCUAACUCCGUGCCAGCAGCCGCGGUAGUACGGAGGGUGCGAGCGUUAAUCGGAAUUACUGGGCGUAAAGCGCGCGUAGGCGGUCUGAUAAGCCGGUUGUGAAAGCCCCGGGCUCAACCUGGGAACGGCAUCCGGAACUGUCAGGCUAGAGUGCAGGAGAGGAAGGUAGAAUUCCCGGUGUAGCGGUGAAAUGCGUAGAGAUCGGGAGGAAUACCAGUGGCGAAGGCGGCCUUCUGGACUGACACUGACGCUGAGGUGCGAAAGCGUGGGUAGCAAACAGGAUUAGAUACCCUAGUAGUC
rnacentral:rRNA from 1 species